rnacentral:rRNA from 1 species
UGGGGAAUUUUGGACAAUGGGCGAAAGCCUGAUCCAGCAAUGCCGCGUGUGUGAAGAAGGCCUUCGGGUUGUAAAGCACUUUUGUCCGGAAAGAAAUCCUUGGCUCUAAUACAGUCGGGGGAUGACGGUACCGGAAGAAUAAGCACCGGCUAACUACGUGCCAGCAGCCGCGGUAAUACGUAGGGUGCAAGCGUUAAUCGGAAUUACUGGGCGUAAAGCGUGCGCAGGCGGUUUGCUAAGACCGAUGUGAAAUCCCCGGGCUCAACCUGGGAACUGCAUUGGUGACUGGCAGGCUAGAGUAUGGCAGAGGGGGGUAGAAUUCCACGUGUAGCAGUGAAAUGCGUAGAGAUGUGGAGGAAUACCGAUGGCGAAGGCAGCCCCCUGGGCCAAUACUGACGCUCAUGCACGAAAGCGUGGGGAGCAAACAGGAUUAGAUACCCCUGGUAGUCCACGCCCUAAAACGAUGUCAACUAGUUGUUGGGGAUUCAUUUCCUUAGUAACGUAGCUAACGCGUGAAGUUGACCGCCUGGGG